AACGAACGCUGGCGGCGUGGCUAACCCAUGCAAGUCGAGCGCGAAAGUCUGGGAAACUGGGCGAUUAGCGCGGCGGAAGGGUGCGUAACGUGUGGGUAACGUACCCCGGGCACGAGGAUAUGCGGUCGAAAGGCCGUGCAAUACUCGAUGAGACCACGGGAAGGCAUCUUCCUGUGAUCAAAGGGCAGGGAUCCUUCGGGACCUGCCGGCCUGGGAUCGGCCCAUAUCCCAUCAGCUUGUUGGUAGGGUAACGGCCUACCAAGGCAACGACGGGUAGCCGGACUGAGAGGUCGACCGGCCACAUUGGGACUGAGACACUGCCCAGACUCCUACGGGAGGCUGCAGGGACGAAUAUUCCGCAAUGGACGAAAGUCUGACGGAGCGACGCCGCGUGUGGGAAGAAGCCCUUCGGGGUGUAAACCACUGUCAGGGGUCACCAAGCAAACGCGCUGAAUAAGCGCGCGCGU
rnacentral:rRNA from 1 species